AACGAACGCUGGCGGCAGGCUUAACACAUGCAAGUCGAACGCUCGUGGCAACACGGGAGUGGCGGACGGGUGAGUAACGCGUGGGAACGUGCCCUGAGGUUGGGAAUAACUGCGGGAAACUGCAGCUAAUACCUGAUGAGCCCCGAGAGGGGGAAAGAUUUAUCGCCUUGGGAGCGGCCCGCGUCGGAUUAGCUAGUUGGUGGGGUAACGGCCUACCAAGGCUUCGAUCCGUAGCUGGUCUGAGAGGACGAUCAGCCACACUGGGACUGAGACACGGCCCAGACUCCUACGGGAGGCAGCAGUGGGGAAUCUUGCGCAAUGGGGGGCAACCCUGACGCAGCCAUGCCGCGUGAAUGAUGAAGGCCUUAGGGUUGUAAAGUUCUUUUGCCCGUGACGAUGAUGACGGUAACGGGAGAAUAAGCUCCGGCUAACUUCGUGCCAGCAGCCGCGGUAAU
rnacentral:rRNA from 1 species